AGGGAUGUAGCUCAGUGGUAAAGAGCAAGACAUGCCUCUUUCCCCUGGUAUGUGCAGGCCAAAGGUCCCAGGUUCAAUCCCCAGCAUCUCCA